AAAACGUAUCAACAGAUAUACUACACCACCAGCACAAAAUAUGAAAGAUGUAACACGAAUACUACAUCAUGCUAUUUUACACGAUCCUGUAUAUAUUCAAAGACUAGCCACGGAUACUGCAAUAAAUCUUGCUAGACAUCUAUCGGUAUUUGAUGGAUUUAAUUUCUAUACUUGUUCGUCUGAGUUGGUGACAAAACAUGGGCAAAGUCAUAAAGCAUGGGUUACUUGUCCAGCACAGAAAGAUGUUAUCAAAAUAGUACAUUAUGCUAGACUUUAUGACAAAGCGUACAUUCAAAGGCUUGUAACCAAUACAAGAAUAAAUUGUGCUCGACUACAAAAGUCUUUUCAAAGAAAAGUACCGAGUUACUCUGAGUCUGAUCUUCAAAGGUCAAAUUAUUUAGGUUCAAUUGAUACAACCUGCGUAACUUGUCCAGCACCAAACGAUAAAGACGUUAUUAAAUUGAUAAAUUAUGCUAAACGUCAUGGUAAAAUCUACAUGCAAAUUCUUGUCACUAAUGAAAGAAUUAAUUAUGUUCGACAACUAUAUUCAAAGUGAAAAGCAAAGGUUGUCAAAUUUGAUCUUCGAUGUUCAGAUGAGCUAACAGGUGAUAUUGCCGAUGAAGUUAAAGAUUUGUCAUUUUUGCCAACUAUGGAUAUGAAGAAUAGUUGUAGGAUGAUUUCUUAACCGACGUAAAUUAUAUCAGAAAAUAAGUUACACCAGUGUCUUAUAGAAUGAUAGUACGUGGUCAAUUGUCAUUUUAUUUUUAAAGAUAUAUUCAUGUGAAUAUAUAUAUUACACACAACCAAUUUUAACUUUUAACUUUAUAGAACGUCCAGUUAUCGGAUGGUUAUUCAGUGGUUGUCGUUGGUUUCUUAUCUAACAUAUGUGUUUUUCAUUUCUUUUUUAAGCAUAAAUUAGGCCAUUGUGUUUCUAGUUUGAUAUUUUGUCAAUUCGGGGCCUUUUAUACGAUAUGGGUUUUACUUAUUGUUGAAGGCGGUAAGAUGACCUAUAGAUAACUACAUAUACAUCAUUACGUCUCUGAUGAAUAUUUUUCACAUUGUCAAUCUUGUAACAUCCUCCUUUUUUCUAUAUUGAAGAAAUAUUUAUGUAAACAAAUCAUCAAAUAUGUACAUAUGUAAGUAUUAUUGAUCCAUAUAUCGAUUAGUAUUAUAUGUACUUACAUGCUGGUCUGUUCCUAGUGCAAAUACAAUUACUUAUAAUCCGCACCUCAUACAAAACGUGCUUCGGUCAAUACUUUUAUAAUCCAAUAAAACUACAAUAAGAAACAUUCAAAUCUUAAUUAAAAGAUGUUUUAUGAAUGUAGUACAUUUUGUAUAUAAUAUACGAAUAAACAGUAUUUUGCUGUCCGAUAUGUAAACGUUCUACUCAUUUUACAAACACAUUAUUGGGAAUGUAUCCAUAUUCCCAUCAAGAUUGGUUGACUUGAUUAAUGUAACGGCGUAUUUUUCACUUCAUCGCAACUUGACUGUUAUUGUUAAACCAUCGUGUCUUAUUAGUUUAUUUCAAAAUUAUUAUUUUUGGAUUGAACAUCGAUUAAAAUUUGUCACUCUGUAUUCUUUUAAAUUGUAUUAUUUUUUAGAUGAAAUAAGUUUGAUAUUUCACACAAUACUUAGUUCUGCUUUCUACACAUUGGCUUUCAGACAUAAUUGUUUUCUUUUAUUUCUAUAUUAUAUAUCAGGCCGUUUGUCUUCACUUUCUAAAUAAAAACAUUUUAUUAUAUUGCUAAUAGUUGAAGUCCGGUUCUGUAGUUUUUUUUACAUCUUUGUCAUUAAGUUUUUGGUGAAUAGUUAACUCAUAGUAAAUCAUAGGACAUCCCAUUAAAGGUGCAUAAGUUACGAGAUAUGUAAAAAAAUAUGAUUUGUUUUUGUAUAAACAUUAAUGAAAGCGAAUGGUGAAAUGAUAAUUCGCUUUAAGAAGACAUUUUGGUUCAAUUUUGUCAAAAUAAGCUAACAAACAUCGCUGAUGAAUUAUUCAUUUGCAAGUGAAUACUUUGACCUCAUUGAACCCGUAUUUAUGUGACCUUUAAUUUAGCCCCUUAGCUGGAGAUGGGUUACGCAUGUAAUUUGCUAUUAAAAGGAGUCAUCAGCAUUGAAAGUGAAACAAGGAUGAACAACUUGGUUGACUGAUUCGAUCCAUAAAAAAUCAUUGUUAUACAGGUAAAAAUUAUGACAAACAUACUUUUCAACCUACAAUAUGAAAUCAAACAGACAUAGAAAAAGCCAAUUCCACGUGGCCGCUAUCUAUUUAUAUUUAUAGUCAUGUUUAUAUCGGGAUAUAUGACUGUCGGCAGUCUUCGGAUGCCAUCUCAAUGGUUAAUUAAAUGACGUCUAGACAAAUAUACACACGAAAUGCUGAUACAUAUUAUCAUUGUUAAUUGUUUAUUUUAAACUUUUUGUAAUCUGGAUAUGCGUUUUAGUAUGUUACCAAUCAACUAUGAAAAUUUGAAUCAAAUCGGUGAACUUGAAUUUGACAACUAAUGCCCCUUUAAUUCAAGUAUCAGAUAAGCUCGUUGAUGGUUUUUCCAACUGAAUGAAUAUGUAUUUAGGUAUUUCAUUAUCUUAUCUAAUAAAUAUAAUGAUUGAGACAUUGUAUAUCAAAUAUUGAAGGAGUAUGAUUAUAAUAAAACAAAAAGUAAUCUG